rnacentral:rRNA from 1 species
CCUACGGUAGGCAGCAGUGGGGAAUAUUGCACAAUGGGGGAAACCCUGAUGCAGCGACGCCGCGUGAAGGAAGAAGUAUUUCGGUAUGUAAACUUCUAUCAGCAGGGAAGAAAAUGACGGUACCUGACUAAGAAGCCCCGGCUAACUACGUGCCAGCAGCCGCGGUAAUACGUAGGGGGCAAGCGUUAUCCGGAUUUACUGGGUGUAACGGGAGCGUAGGCGGUUUAGCAAGUCAGAAGUGAAAGCCCGGGGAUCAACUCCGGGACUGCUUUUGAAACUGUUGAACUAGAUGGCAGGAGAGGUAAGUGGAAUUCCUAGUGUAGCGGUGAAAUGCGUAGAUAUUAGGAGGAACACCAGUGGCGAAGGCGGCUUACUGGACUGUAAAUGACGCUGAGGCUCGAAAGCGUGGGGAGCAAACAGGAUUAGAUACCCUGGUAGUC